rnacentral:misc_RNA from 1 species
GAUGAAGAACGUAGUAAAAUGCGAUACGUAGUGUGAAUUGCAGAAUUCAGUGAAUCAUCGAAUCUUUGAACGCACAUUGCACCUCUCGGUAUUCCGGGAGGUAUGCCUGUUCGAGCGUCAUUUGUACCCUCAAGCUCUGCUUGGUGUUGGGUGUUUGUUCCGCCUCUGUGUGUGAACUCGCCUCAAAACAAUUGGCAGCCGGCGUACUUGUUUCGGAGCGCAGCACAUUUUGCGAUCCAGAUCAACGUACAGCGGCAUCCAAGAAGCCUUAUUUAACGCUCUUGACCUCGGAUCAGGUAGGGAUACCCGCUGAACUUAAGCAUAUCAAUAAGCGGAGGA